ACUCCUACGGGAGGCAGCAGUGGGGAAUAUUGCACAAUGGGGGAAACCCUGAUGCAGCCAUGCCGCGUGUGUGAAGAAGGCCUUCGGUUGUAAAGCACUUUCUAGUAGGGAGGAAGGUAGUGUAGUUAACACCUGCAUAUUUGUACGUUACCUACAGAAGAAGCACCGGCUAACUCCGUGCCAGCAGCCGCGGUAAUACGGAGGGUGCGAGCGUUAAUCGGAAUUACUGGGCGUAAAGCGCAUGCAGGCGGCCUGUUAAGUCAGAUGUGAAAGCCCGGGGCGUUAACCUCGGAAUUGCAUUUGAAACUGGCAGGCUAGAGUCUUGUAGAGGGGGGUAGGAAUUUCAGGUGUAGCGGUGAAAUGCGUAGAGAUCUGAAGGAAUACCAGUGGCG
rnacentral:rRNA from 1 species